rnacentral:rRNA from 1 species
UACGGGGGGGGCAAGCGUUGUUCGGAAUUACUGGGCGUAAAGCGCACGUAGGCGGAUCGUUAAGUCGGGGGUGAAAUCCUGGAGCUCAACUCCAGAACUGCCUUCGAUACUGGCGAUCUUGAGUCCGGAAGAGGUGAGUGGAACUCCUAGUGUAGAGGUGGAAUUCGUAGAUAUUAGGAAGAACACCAGUGGCGAAGGCGGCUCACUGGUCCGGUACUGACGCUGAGGUGCGAAAGCGUGGGGAGCCAAACAGGG